ACCAUAGCCUGCAGUAACAUGAAAAAUAGAAAAUUUACUCUAGAUCUGGUGGAUCUGCCUAAGGAGAUUUCCAAGAGGAAUUUUAGCUGCAUAUGGUAGCCAGAAAUAUAGAAAGAUAAGGCUGUGUGUCUGCGUGGGCCUUUUGGAAUACUGAUUUGAGGAUGCUUUUUCACAACUCAGUAACCAUAUGCUGAGAAACUCAAGCCAAAUGGAAAUACCAUUAGUAGGUACCUUAUUUGCAAACCUAACUCAAGUCUGAGUCAACAGUCAGCAUCAGCUGCCAGCCAUUCAAGUUUGCCAUCUUGGACAUUCAAGUUCACUGGAGAGUCUAGAUGUCUAAAGCCACUAUCUGAUGUUGGAAUUGGCUAUGUAACUCAGUUUGAAUCCAUAACAUAUAUAUGAAAGACACUGCUGGGGAGUUCUGAAAAAAUGUUUUUAAAAACCUGAGGGAAGUGAUAGAAGAAACAAAGCAAGAAAGAAAGAAAAAAAAAAGAAGAAAGAAAUCCAGAAAGAUGCUAGAAUAAUAUAAGGCCAUCAUGCAUUACCUAACAGAAAGGAUGUGGAUGAAACAGUCUUUGCCAUGAAAUGUAUACACAUACUUCCUAAUUUUAGAUAAACUUUGAAAUAAAUAGUAGCGACAAGAA